UGCGGAAGGAUCAUUACAGAGUUCAUGCCCUCACGGGUAGAUCUCCCACCCUUGAAUAUUAUACCUUCGUUGCUUUGGCAGGCCGUGGAAACACCAGAGGCUCCGGCUGAUGCGUGCCUGCCAGAGGAAACAAACUCUGUUUUUAGUGAUGUCUGAGUACUAUAUAAUAGUUAAAACUUUCAACAACGGAUCUCUUGGUUCUGGCAUCGAUGAAGAACGCAGCGAAAUGCGAUAAGUAAUGUGAAUUGCAGAAUUCAGUGAAUCAUCGAAUCUUUGAACGCACAUUGCGCCCCGUGGUAUUCCGCGGGGCAUGCCUGUUCGAGCGUCAUUUCAACCCAUCAAGCUUCGGCUUGGUCUUGGGGCCUGCGGUUUCGCAGCCUCUAAACCCAGUGGCGGUGCUAUUGAGCUCUGAGCGUAGUAAUUUCUCUCGCUAUAGAGUCUCGGUGGUGACUUGCCAACAACCCCCAAUUUUUAUCAGGUUGACCUCGGAUCAGGUAGGGAUACCCGCUGAACUUAAGCAUAUCA
rnacentral:rRNA from 1 species